AUUUAGUCAAGCAAAGGACAUGUCUGCUAAACUAGACAUUGAAUUAACACACAAAAGAAUCAUUAAAAAACAAAAAAAACCGUGCUAAUCCUAUAACAGAUGGAGAGUUAAAUGUAGAAACAUACUAUAGGAUAACAGUUUUUCUAUCUUAUCUUGAUUAUAACUGAAUUACAAGAAAGAUUUUUGUCUCAUUCAGAUAUUUUCAAAGGGUUUGAAUGCUUAUUUUCAACAAAUUCAAAUUUAACUGAAGAUGAAGAAUUAUCAUUUAAACAAUUGGUAUAAUUUUAUAGUCCUGAUGUAGAAUGUUUUGACAAAUCAUUUUUUGAAUUAAAAUUAUGGAAGCGUAAAUUAAAUAAAUGUGAAAAACUUCCAAAAUCUGGGCUCCAAAAACUUAUUAUGUGUGAUGAACAAAUUUAUCCCAACAUAUUUUUGCUCUUAAAAAAUAUUAUGUACAUUGCCAGUCUCGACCACUUCACCAGAGCGUAUGUUUUCUACUUUAAAAAGAGUAAAAACUUUUCUCAGAAACACAAUGGGUCAGGAACGCUUGAAUGGACUUAUGAUGUUAUCAGUACAUCGGGACAUUAAGUUGAACCCCGAUGAUUUACUGGAUAUUUGGGUGAAAAAAACAAAAAGAAAACUUGAAAUAAUAUUAUAAUUUAUGAAAAAUAUAUUUAGCUUAAUUUAAUUGUUU